GACAGAGGGUGCAAGCGUUGUUCGGAUUCAUUGGGCGUAAAGGGCGCGUAGGCGGCUUGGUAAGUCGAAUGUGAAAUCCCAUGGCUUAACCAUGGAAGUGCAUUCGAAACUGCUUCGCUAGAGUCUCAGAGAGGGUGGUGGAAUUCCCAGUGUAGAGGUGAAAUUCGUAGAUAUCGGGAGGAACACCAGUGGCGAAGGCGGCGACCUGGGCCAAUACUGACGCUGAGGUGCGAAAGCGUGGGGAGCAAACAGG
rnacentral:rRNA from 1 species